GGGCCUGGCGGAGGGCUGUGGAGUGAAGGAGGCAGGGGUGGCACCCUUAGCAGUGCGCCCUAAGUGUUUGGCCAUUGCUGGAUAUAAGGGCGGAGGAAGGGGGCCCUGACAUGCUGCCUCCGGUAACCCACGCAGCAAACAGAGUUGGAGGACUGGCGACCGGUGGCUCCCAGGGGUGGACUGGGACAGCUCUCGGAGACGUCGACGAGGCCGGGAGGGUGCCCAGCAGGACCUGCCAAGACCUAGGAGCACCUGGAAAUGAGAUCCGCAGCAUUAAGGCGGCAACUAGGCCCUAGUGACUGGCAGUCAGCAAACACCCUGUACUAACCACGGAGUAAUUCUUCCCGAAGAGCCCGGGAAAGAGAUGCUAAUUUGCAAGCGCGUGGAACUAACAUUUAACCUGGGCCUGCGGUGCACCAGACACGGAGCUGAGCACCUGGGCAACGACUCUGCUAAUAGUGAAACAAUGAAGGCAAUAAAGGAUGAUGAUCCUUUCCAGAAGAAGUCUUCGCAGUGAAAAGGAAGAGAAAGUGGGCCUGUACCCCAAUGGAUAGUUGAGUCAAGGAAUGGGGUGGGGGUGACACACACACCCCUUUCUUUUUCUUUCUUCUUCCAUUUCAGUGGUACAAGAUGCCCGAGGAGGACAAGAGUGACGGCCAGGAGGGACAAAAAGGCAGAAAUUUUCCUGCAAGAUUUGAAGGAUUCAUAAAGAUAGGAAUGUUUGGAACAAGGAAGAAGAAGAAAAUUGGAAACUUUGAAGGCUGGAUGGGAGUUUCACAAGCAGCAUUAGAGGCUGUUCCAGGCACAAAGAACUGUACAAAUCAGGACCAAAUCAAAAACCGAGCUCACGGGCAUUGAGUUGAUGCCUACGCAUAGCCGCUGUAGGACAAGUACCCACUUACCCCCUGAGGUUCUAGAGCUCCUACUAUUUGGACAUUUGAUUGACUCAAGCAAUGAAGAGUGGGGCAGCAGUCUCUUCAUUCCAGCCAUUUACAAGGUGAGAAUUAGCCUUUGCUUCUCUGGUUAUUUAUUACUACAGUUUUUAUUCACAAGGCAGCAGAGUUUCAGAAAGAAGGCAAAUUAGGUACGAGUGAAAAUGAAAGGAAGAAGAAAUGUGUGCCUUAAACCGGUGUUUUUGCAAAGUUUUUUUGGCUGUGACUCCCCAUAAAAAAUACAUUGUACAUUUCAACCCCAAACAUGCCAACACACCCAGCACCCCUCUAAAGCAAGUGUCUUAAAGAAAUUUUUUUGAGUCUUAAAAAUUAUUACCAAAAAAAAAAUGUUUACUCUUAGCUUCAUGCAAUGCAUGCUGAAAUAUCUAACUUAUUGUUUGUAUUUGUUUUAAAAUAUGGUCAGGACCAACCACGUUGAUUUUAUGGUCCAAAAUUGGGUCAUGUUGAUAUGGGAUUGGGCUGUGCUUCAUUCCAUUGUACACAGGGUCGCAACGUCUCAGAAUGGCCUUCCUUGACAGCACCCAACACCCACAACAUUGGGUCACAACCUGCCUUAGAGAGGCUAGACUAUUCCCUGCUAUGUUUGCAGUUCUUGUUUUGAAUAGACAAACAGCCUGUGACCUCAAGCUUGCCAUGUUUACAUGUCCCAGAAAUCAACAGGAUAGGCAAGACUCUCCCAGGAUGUGGUGGGGGAAGGGAUGAGCAGAACAAUGUUUGUUCCUAACUCAUUCUCAGUAAAUAUUUCCUAAUAUCAGUAUUUCCCAGGAGCCAUAAAUGUUUUCUCCCUUGUCCAGCUUGAGAUAAAGAUUGGACUUCAAAGAAAGCUAAACUACAGCCCCUAGACCAGCAACAACAGAAUCAAGGACUAAAAUACAAAAUAAAAUCCUAUCUUGAUGGUGACAGUUAUCCUGUGAUAAUACAUACAAGUUGGAGUUUUAUAAGGGCAAUAAAUACCAUUCCUUCUUUAAAAAAACCCAGCAACAAUAAUUACACGAAUAACAAUGAGC